ACUGGACUUGGAGUCAGAAGAGUGG
rnacentral:miRNA from 1 species